UCCUCCCUCUUUCUUCGUGCUUAACACAUGCAAGUCGAACGGUGAUGCUCCAGCUUGCUGGAGUGGAUCAGUGGCGAACGGGUGAGUAACACGUGAGCAACCUGCCCCAGACUCUGGAAUAAGCGCUGGAAACGGCGUCUAAUACUGGAUACGAAACUGGCCCGCAUGGGCAUGGUUUGGAAAGUUUUUCGGUUUGGGAUGGGCUCGCGGCCUAUCAGCUUGUUGGUGAGGUAAUGGCUCACCAAGGCGACGACGGGUAGCCGGCCUGAGAGGGCGACCGGCCACACUGGGACUGAGACACGGCCCAGACACCUACGGGAGGCAGCAGUGGGGAAUAUUGCACAAUGGGCGAAAGCCUGAUGCAGCGACGCCGCGUGAGGGAUGACGGCCUUCGGGUUGUAAACCUCUUUCAGCAGGGAAGAAGCGAAAGUGACGGUACCUGCAGAAGAAGCACCGGCUAACUACGUG
rnacentral:rRNA from 1 species